rnacentral:misc_RNA from 1 species
UCAAUUCCUAAAUAGUUUGGGAUCUAAUUAGGUUAUUCAAACACUAUAUAUAGGCAUAAAGGUUCUCAUUAUUUUUCAAGCCUUGUUAUGAUAAUUUUAUAAGAUCAAUAAUAUUAGGGAGAAUUAGUUCUCUUUUCAAGGAUUGAUCCUUGAUUUCUCCUUCUUCUUGGUGCUUUCUCUUUGUUCUACAUCAGUUGGCAGUAGACAACAGUCUUGAUUACAGAAAGCUAAUAGCAGAACAGAUUUUGAGCAAUCCUUAGAUCAUGGUUUGAUAGACAAAAUUACAGUAGGACUCCCAUGAUUAACUUCAUCAAACUCAGAUCUUAAAGUCACAUUUUUAAGCUUCAUCGUAAAUCAUAAUCAAGGCUUUUGACGACUAAGGCCAAAACCCAGUUUCCAACUGUCCCCAUUAUUAUUGCCCUUUUAGAAAAGAUUCAUUUAUCUCUAAGGGUAAGAUUAGAGAUCAAUAGAAUACGCCAAAUAGGC